UAGGGAAUCUUCCGCAAUGGACGCAAGUCUGACGGAGCAAUGCCGCGUGAGUGAAGAAGGAUUUCGGUUCGUAAAACUCUGUUGUUAGAGAAGAACAGCGCAUAGAGUAACUGUUAUGCGUGUGACGGUAUCUAACCAGAAAGCCACGGCUAACUACGUGCCAGCAGCCGCGGUAAUACGUAGGUCCCGAGCGUUGUCCGGAUUUAUUGGGCGUAAAGCGAGCGCAGGCGGUUAGAAAAGUCUGAAGUGAAAGGCAGUGGCUCAACCAUUGUAGGCUUUGGAAACUGUUUAACUUGAGUGCAGAAGGGGAGAGUGGAAUUCCAUGUGUAGCGGUGAAAUGCGUAGAUAUAUGGAGGAACACCGGUGGCGAAAGCGGCUCUCUGGUCUGUAACUGACGCUGAGGCUCGAAAGCGUGGGGAGCGAACAGG
rnacentral:rRNA from 1 species